rnacentral:misc_RNA from 1 species
AACCAUUCUCACCUGCGGCUAGACCUGCGGAAGGAUCAUUACCGAGUGUGGCCCCCCUAAAAAAAGGGGGGUACCUCCCGUCCUUUGCAGGGCCCUUUGGGGCUUUUUGAACUUUGCUUCGGCGGGGUUAUCCCGCCGGAACACCCUUAAGAAAAUCUUUUUAAAAAAAACUGUUGUCUGGGCACUUUUGCGAAUAAAACAAAACUUUCAACAACGGAUCU